UACGUAGGGGGCUAGCGUUGUCCGGAUUUAUUGGGCGUAAAGAGCUCGUAGGUGGUUCGGUAAGUCGGAUGUGAAAUCUCCAGGCUCAACCUGGAGGGGUCAUUCGAUACUGCCGUGACUAGAGUUCGGUAGAGGAGUGUGGAAUUCCUGGGGGAGCGGUGAAAUGCGCAGAGAUCAGGAGGAACACCCGUAGCGAAGGCGGCACUCUGGGCCGAUACUGACACUGAGGAGCGAAAGCGUGGGGAGCGAACAGG
rnacentral:rRNA from 1 species